CCUACGGGAGGCAGCAGUGAGGAAUAUUGGUCAAUGGGCGAGAGCCUGAACCAGCCAAGUCGCGUGAGGGAGUACUGCCCUAUGGGUUGUAAACCUCUUUUGUCGGGGAGCAAAAGCCGGACGUGUCCGGCUGUGAGAGUACCCGAAGAAAAAGCAUCGGCUAACGCGGUGCCAGCAGCCGCGGUAAUACGGAGGAUGCGAGCGUUAUCCGGAUUUAUUGGGUUUAAAGGGUGCGCAGGCGGAUUUUUAAGUCAGCGGUAAAAUCGUGGGGCUCAACCCCAUCCAGCCGUUGAAACUGGGGAUCUAGAGUGUGCGAGAGGUAUGCGGAAUGCGUGGUGUAGCGGUGAAAUGCAUAGAUAUCACGCAGAACCCCGAUUGCGAAGGCAGCAUACCGGUGCACAACUGACGCUCAGGCACGAAAGCGUGGGUAUCGAACAGGAUUAGAUACCCUGGUAGUC
rnacentral:rRNA from 1 species